rnacentral:rRNA from 1 species
UGGGGAAUAUUGCACAAUGGGCGCAAGCCUGAUGCAGCGACGCCGCGUGAGGGAUGACGGCCUUCGGGUUGUAAACCUCUGUUAGCAUCGAAGAAGCGAAAGUGACGGUAGGUGCAGAGAAAGCGCCGGCUAACUACGUGCCAGCAGCCGCGGUAAUACGUAGGGCGCGAGCGUUGUCCGGAAUUAUUGGGCGUAAAGAGCUUGUAGGCGGUUGGUCGCGUCUGNNUNUNUAUGCUGUGAAAGGCCGGGGCUUAACUCCGGUUUUGCAGUGGGUACGGGCUAACUAGAGUGCAGUAGGGGAGACUGGAAUUCCUGGUGUAGCGGUGGAAUGCACAGAUAUCAGGAGGAACACCGAUGGCGAAGGCAGGUCUCUGGGCUGUAACUGACGCUGAGAAGCGAAAGCAUGGGGAGCGAACAGGAUUAGAUACCCUGGUAGUCCAUGCCGUAAACGUUGGGCACUAGGUGUGGGGGACAUUCCACGUUUUCCGCGCCGUAGCUAACGCAUUAAGUGCCCCGCCUGGGGAGUACGGCCGCAAGGCUA